rnacentral:lncRNA from 1 species
CGUUAAUGGAGGAAGUGAGGUCAGUGUGCUUCUGACAAUCCUAACAAGAUGACAGAAUUUAUGAAGCGCUGCGGUAGAAAGAUGUAGUUAUCUGCAGUCUAUUCAUAUAAUAAGGCCACUUGGGGCCCGUCGUUACUCCCCUUGAAUUUGUUUUCCUUUCUUCAUUCCUUUUUGUUGUCCGGCUCUUCCUUUGGCUUUCCUUUCGGAUCUACCUAGAACCAUUAUCGCUUCAGACCACGUGAUAGCUAAGGGAAGCAGGCCCACUUCCUCCUAAGGAUGGGUGGCCCGUUCACUGGACUGUGUGUGAACCCCGGUAACAAGGGAGGGUGGAGUGGGCCAAGUCUUUGGGUCAGCUUUGUAUAAAACCUAAAUGUGGUACCAAAUCAGCAGCACCUGAAGACCGAGUUCACAUUUUAACUCAACCCAAAAAAGGAAACCCGUGACUGUUUUUAAAGUCCAACGUCUUUCUCAUCCCAAUGAACGAGGACAUCUCUUUUUCUACAACCCUGUGAGGUGAGGUGAAAUUGCACUGUCCCUGGGGAAACUGAGAGGCAUGAAACCAUCCUGGCCUGAGUGAUCAGUGAAGACUGGAUGGGGAGGUCCAGCUUGGUCUGCACAAGACUGGAGCAAAGGAUGAAAAAAUUUGAAAGGGAAAAAGGAAAAAAAGCACCCAGCACAGUGCCAGGAAACCAGUAGAGACCAGCACUACUCACGUAUGGACCAAGGACCCCUGCACCAGAAGCUUGUUUAAAGGCUGCCAAUUCCUCAGCCCACUACAGGACCACAGGUUACUGAAACCGAGGAAAGAAAAACCACAAGAUAAGGGGGCACUACUGUGUGUACCAUAACCAGGGCAUCACUUCAUUAUACCUACUUUGUGUAAAUGGGAGCAGAAGAGGCUGCCCAGAAAGAAGAGCUGAGCUUUGAAAGAAGGGGACAGAGCAUGCAAUUGCAGAUGGCCAGGAGUGGAGCGUGACCAGGGGAAGAGAAGUUUCUUCUCAAAGAAUCUGGAACAGAAUUACAAAUCUGGCAAAGCUACCUCAUCCCUGAACUCCCAGCUCCA